AACGUAGGUGGCGAGCGUUAUCCGGAUUUACUGGGCGUAAAGGGUGUGCAGGCGGGCUGUUAAGUGGUGCAUGAAAUCUCCGCGCUUAACGUGGAGAGGCUGUGCCAGACUGGCAGUCUAGAGUACGAGAGAGGGUUGUUGAAUUCCGGGUGUAGUGGUGAAAUGCGUAGAGAUCCGGAGGAACACCAGAGGCGAAGGCGGCAACCUGGCUCGUUACUGACGCUCAUACACGACAGCAUGGGGAGCGAACGGG
rnacentral:rRNA from 1 species